rnacentral:rRNA from 1 species
CAGCCGCCGCGGGAAUACAGAGGGUGCGAGCGUUAAUCGGAUUUACUGGGCGUAAAGCGUGCGUAGGCGGCUUCUUAAGUCGGAUGUGAAAUCCCUGAGCUUAACUUAGGAAUUGCAUUCGAUACUGGGAAGCUAGAGUAUGGGAGAGGAUGGUAGAAUUCCGGGUGUAGCGGUGAAAUGCGUAGAGAUCUGGAGGAAUACCGAUGGCGAAGGCAGCCAUCUGGCCUAAUACUGACGCUGAGGUACGAAAGCAUGGGGAGCAAACAGGAUUAGAUACCCCUGUAGUCCCUGUCUCUUAUAC